rnacentral:snRNA from 1 species
CCCUCUUCUCGGCCUUUUGGCUAAGGUCAAGUGUAGUAUCUGUUCUUAUCAGUUUAACUUGUCAGUAUUAACCACAGGAUCAACUGAUUCCUUAUAUAAGAUGUAAAGAAUUCAGGAAAUGGCAGAGGAUUUGGAAUUAUA